ensembl:lncRNA
CCUCCACAUUCCUCUACGCAAACUCUUGGCAACAAGUAGCAUGGAUAUUAGCAAGUAAAGGCAAAUAGAAUAACUAGUAAAUAUUCUAGCCUUUGUAGUGUUUUGUUUAAAUAAUUGAUUUUGAGUGUUUGUGUGUAUUGUUGUUUAGCAUCUUUCAAAUGACCUACUUUUAAAACUAACUAGCUAACCUUGGGUGUCUCCAUUGAUCAGAAGCAAGAAUGGUUCUGUGCUAUGUACCGGAGUGUAACAACUACUCCGAUUAACCUCAUGUGCAUUUCAUGGUUUUCCGACCUCUGUGAGGCAUCGCUGGAAACGAGUGAUAAGACAAUAGGCGUGACCUGCGGAACAUCGGGCUCACCCCACGAAAAGCAGUGUAUGAUCAACGCCACCCCCAGCCAGGAGAUCUGCUGACCCGAAAAACCACACAAGGGUUAAGCAUUCCAGAUGAUUUUCAAAGGCUGUGUCCUAACCAACUCUACUUACUUAUUUGGAGUUCAAUGGAAACAUUGAAGUUCCAGGCACGUGGGAUGAUGCCAGAUGCUGGAAUAGCAGCAAUGCCACGUACAGGCAGGGAUGACUGGGGCCUUCAGCGGGUAAGAUGUGGGUGCCAAUUUUGGGAACAUGUGGUCCUUGAAAAACGCCUCAUCUCCAGCAAUAUGAGUGUGCCAGAGGUCAUCACGCUGGAUGGGGAUGGUGAUGGAGGCUUUGGUGGUCCACACAAUGAAGGAGCAUCAAUGAAAUGUCUGUAUCUCAGUAAAAUCUUUGAAACUGUUGCAUAUACAUUUUUGCUCAGUAUAUCUUUACAAUAAAAAAAUAAGGUGACCACCGAAAGCCAGAUGGAGACGUGUUAAUUAGAAGCGCACUCGGUCCUUAUAUUACCGUAGCAUAGGCUAUGUUGGAGCGAAUGUCGGCCUACCUGUCACAAGAAAAAAAGUUACCAUUAUGAGAUGAUAGGUCUACAUGCAUUGUGAACUGCGCUCCAUGCUGAGAUGGGCUGUAUGUACACACCCUGAGUAUUGAUGAUUGGUCAGGCAGAGAGAAGGCCAUAGACAAGCCAGAUUUAGACAUUGCAUAUCAUUUUACAGUUCCAUUUCACUUCAUGCACUUCCUAUAAAUAAUUUAUUAUAAUUUACCGGUUUCUCGCUGUUAUUUUUCACGGAAAAAGGGAGGGCCUUUAACAGAUGGUGCCAACAGACAUGGCAGCUCUACUUUAGCUCCUAAGAAACUUUGCAGUAUUUUGUUUUUCAGUGUAUUAUUUCUUAUAUUAUGAGCCCAAAAAGUUUUUUGUGUUAUUACAUACAACAGGAAAUAACUUUUGGAUAUUAGAGCAGCGAUAACUCACCAGCAUUAUGACCAGGAAUACGACUUUCCCG